GAUGAAGAACGUAUCGAAAUGCGAUAAGUAAUGUGAAUUGCAGAAUUCAGUGAAUCAUCGAAUCUUUGAACGCACCUUGCACCCUUUGGACUGCUCCAAAGGGUAUGCUCGUUUGAGUGUCAUUGUACUCUCACACUCUCUGAUCCUUUGGAUUUGGGGAGCAGUGGACUUGGGUGCUUGCUGCUUCCUUGUGGCUCACCUGAAAUGCAUCAGUGCAUCUCUCGAUUGGACAUAGUACGGCGUGAUAAGUGUCUUCGCCGGCACCUCAUAUGAGGGUGGCCGAUCGGGAGCUCUGUGCUUUCAAACCGUCUUCGGACAACGCUGACAACUUGACCUCAAAUCGAGUAGGACUACCCGCUGAACUUAAGCAUAUCAAUAAGCGGAGGA
rnacentral:misc_RNA from 1 species